rnacentral:rRNA from 1 species
GCAAGUCGAGCGGACCUCUUCGGAGGUCAGCGGCGGACGGGUGAGUAACACGUGGGCAACCUGCCUGUAAGACUGGGAUAACUCCGGGAAACCGGAGCUAAUACCGGAUAACCUUUUGAACCGCAUGGUUCAAAACUGAAAGACGGUUAUGCUGUCACUUACAGAUGGGCCCGCGGCGCAUUAGCUAGUUGGUGAGGUAAUGGCUCACCAAGGCGACGAUGCGUAGCCGACCUGAGAGGGUGAUCGGCCACACUGGGACUGAGACACGGCCCAGACUCCUACGGGAGGCAGCAGUAGGGAAUCUUCCGCAAUGGACGAAAGUCUGACGGAGCAACGCCGCGUGAGUGAUGAAGGUUUUCGGAUCGUAAAGCUCUGUUGUCAGGGAAGAACAAGUGCGGGAGUCACUGCCCGCGCCUUGACGGUACCUGACCAGAAAGCCACGGCUAACUACGUGCCAGCAGCCGCGGUAAUACGUAGGUGGCAAGCGUUGUCCGGAAUUAUUGGGCGUAAAGCGCGCGCAGGCGGUCUUUUAAGUCUGAUGUGAAAGCCCCCGGCUCAACCGGGGAGGGUCAUUGGAAA